rnacentral:rRNA from 1 species
UAUGAAGGGUGCAAGCGUUACUCGGAAUUACUGGGCGUAAAGCGUGCGCAGGCGGUUUGCUAAGAGAGAUGUGAAAUCCCCGGGCUUAACCUGGGAACUGCGUUUCUAACUGGCAGGCUUGAGUGUGGCAGAGGGGGGUGGAAUUCCACGUGUAGCAGUGAAAUGCGUAGAGAUGUGGAGGAACACCGAUGGCGAAGGCAGCCCCCUGGGCUAACACUGACGCUCAUGCACGAAAGCGUGGGGAGCAAACAGG